GGCGGCGUAGCUCAGGUGGUAGAGCAGCGGAAUCAUAAUCCGCGUGUCGGGGGUUCAAGUCCCUCCGCCGCUACCA
rnacentral:tRNA from 1 species